rnacentral:tRNA from 1 species
GGGCCGUUAGCUCAGUUUGGUAGAGCAGCUGACUCUUAAUCAGCGGGCCACAGGUUCAAGUCCUGUACGGCCCA